AGAUUGAACGCUAGCGGGAUGCUUUACACAUGCAAGUCGAACGGCAGCGCGGACUUCGGUCUGGCGGCGAGUGGCGAACGGGUGAGUAAUAUAUCGGAACGUGCCCAGUAGCGGGGGAUAACUACGCGAAAGCGUGGCUAAUACCGCAUACGCCCUACGGGGGAAAGGGGGGGAUCGCAAGACCUCUCACUAUUGGAGCGGCCGAUAUCAGAUUAGCUAGUUGGUGAGGUAAAGGCUCACCAAGGCGACGAUCUGUAGCUGGUUUGAGAGGACGACCAGCCACACUGGGACUGAGACACGGCCCAGACUCCGUACGGGAGGCAGCAGUGGGGAAUUUGGGAACAAGUAGGGGGAAACCCUGAUCCAGCCAGUCCCGCGUGUGCGUAGUGAACGGUCCGUUACGGGUUACGUAAAGCGUACGUUUGGUACGAGGGAAACG
rnacentral:rRNA from 1 species